rnacentral:lncRNA from 1 species
CGGGUAAUUAACGAUAGGAAAUGAAAAAUCAUCCCUUUUAUCAUAAAUUUUAGUAUUCAGCUUUCCGUUAGUGAUAUAGAUAUCAAGAUCGAGGAAAGGGCAGUGGUCAUUGUUAGUAUUAGCUUUAUUUAAAGUAAGUUCAGCAGGAUAAAUUUCAUUAAUAUACAUACUGAAGUCGUCAUUAUUGAGAGCCAAAAUAUCAUCCAAAUAUCUAAAAGUAUUAUUAAAUUUGUUUAUCAGAUGUUGUUUUGAUGGGUCUUUGCUUAUUUUUGUCAUAAAUUGUAACUCAUAACAAUACAAAAAGAGGUCCGCAAUAAGUGGUGCACAGUUAGUCCCCAUUGGAAUUCCGAUAAUCUGACGAUAUACGGAAUCCCCAAAGCGAACAAAAAUGUUAUCUAGUAAAAAUUCAAGGGCAUAUAUAGUAUCAAAGCAUGUCCAAUUAACAUAGUUUUUUUGUUUAUUGCUACUAAAAAAUGACCUAAAAGAGUUUAAACAUAUAUA